AUUUUGUGAUUCUUUCCUUUAUUUUCAAGAUCUUCUCUGUAUUAUAUUUUACUUGGAGGAUUUUUCCUUGCUGUCUUCAGAUCUCCCUGACUUUGAGUUCCGCUCCCAUCACCAGGAUGCUGCUGAUCUGCUCUCUGCUCUACCCAGCAGCUUGGCUCAGUGGUGGGAGUUCCAGGGGCUGCCUUCACUGUUUCCUUCAAUUAUGUUCUCCAAAGAGUCAUACCUCUCCCAGAGUCUCAGCUAUUCUUCGAGUCCAGCACCAUUAGCCAAGCCUCCCAGCCAACCAAAUGUGUGCCAAGGAAGGAAUUGCAUCUUUUCAUUAGGAUGUUAA
rnacentral:lncRNA from 1 species